UUUUCACAACUAUAUGAUACAAUCUAAUACUCGGCAUUGCUACACAAAAUAUUAUAAAACCACAAACAGACUUUUUAUGGAUAUGAAUAUGGUAUCAGGAGAAAAUAAAAAUUAGAAUUUAAAUCAUUCAGGUAUCCUCAUUUCCAUUUUGAGGACAAGGAGAAUAGCACUAAAUUUUAGGUUGAAGUAUAUAAAUUUGAAUUUAAAACACUAAACAAGUACAUUUUAGAAGAUAAACCUAUAUAACCUG
rnacentral:lncRNA from 1 species